rnacentral:rRNA from 1 species
CUCUGUGACUCCUACGGGAGGCAGCAGUGGGGAAUAUUGCACAAUGGGGGAAACCCUGAUGCAGCCAUGCCGCGUGUGUGAAGAAGGCCUUCGGGUUGUAAAGCACUUUCAGUAGGGAGGAAGGUAGUGUAGUUAACACCUGCAUUAUUUGACGUUACCUACAGAAGAAGCACCGGCUAACUCCGUGCCAGCAGCCGCGGUAAUACGGAGGGUGCGAGCGUUAAUCGGAAUUACUGGGCGUAAAGCGCAUGCAGGCGGCCUGUUAAGUCAGAUGUGAAAGCCCGGGGCUUAACCUCGGAAUUGCAUUUGAAACUGGGCAGGCUAGAGUCUUGUAGAGGGGGUAGAAUUUCAGGUGUAGCGGUGAAAUGCGUAGAGAUCUGAAGGAAUACCAGUGGCGAAGGCGGCCCCCUGGACAAAGACUGACGCUCAGAUGCGAAAGCGUGGGGAGCAAACAGGAUUAGAUACCCUGGUAG